rnacentral:lncRNA from 10 species
GUUUCCCUCCAGGGAACCGGCUGAGUGUUUGUGGAACUCCUACCUGCCAGGGUGCCAGGUUUACUGGCUGAAGCUCAUUAAACCACAGGGUAGCCCUUCAGAGUUUCCUGAGCUGCAGAACAGCUGAGUGAGUUCAUUCUGACCCAGGAAGCAUGCUUAUAGAGGUUUCCUAUCCAAGCCUGAAGAUAGUCAUUUUCACGGGAAAGUUUGAGAUUCCUUUAAAAAUGGAUUGAAUAUGGAAAAUCGUAUGUGGUCCAUCCUGUUUUAGCCAAAUCAGAAUCAUUCAGUCCCUGGGUAAUUAAAAGAAUUCCUGGACUCAAGAGACCCUCCCGCCUCAGCUUCCCAAAGCACUGGGAUUACCAGCAUGAACCAACAUGCCUGGCGAGUUUUCUUAUCUAUUAAAUGUUAACCAAAUAUUAGAGGAUUGCUGUAAGAAUUAAAUGCAAUUAAAAUGUGGAAAGUC